CCCGGCCUCCACCCACCAGAAAGUAGUUCAGGUGCUCCUCUAAUGUGGGGAAUUCUGUUUUUUUUUUUAAUUUUUUUUUAAUUUUUUUUUAUUUUUAUGACUCUAAUGCUCGUCCCUUUUUCACAUUUCCAUCCAGAAAGAGACAGAGGAACUAGCAGCACCCAUUGAAUCUGCUGAUGAGGACAAGUGGAACAUGGAACAAAAAGCUUUGGCAGAAAAAAAAAAAAAACUUUGGCAGCAAUCCAUGCUGGAUGCUGGUAUUUUUAUAAACUUUAUUAAAUCAGAACCAGGCAGGAGAGGAGGUAGAGAAUUUUACUUUGGUAGAGGAGCUCUGCUUUACAAAAAUACCUCUGAGGCACUAGGAUUGAGCUAACCCCAUGCACAUCAAAACGCUUCCCCACUGUGGAUCUGAGAAGGAAUGCAAUCAGCAUCUAUGGUCUCCUUGAGGCAACAACCCUGGGCGAUGUCUCCUUGUUUAAUGAGGAGGAGUGUGGAGAGAGAGAAAGUUUUACUGCUUAGAGGAGAAUUCCUGGGUCAUGACUGAUGCCAGUAUGCACACGUUCAGCUUUAAUGCGAGGACACAUUUUGUUGAAUCGAAUGGACCUAGUUGGACAGCAUCAACUCCAUGCACCCUACGCCUGAGUACAGAGCCCGCAAGCAAACAUUCUGAUUCCAAGUGUCUAUGGAACUUGGAGAGGAAAGACACUGGACUAAUCUGGUGGAAGGCACAUGAAAGCAAGGAAUCUAAACUCAGGACCAGAAGUGGAGUGGAAGAGAGAAACUUCUGGGACCUAAUUAAUGGAACACACAGAGAACUUGAGAAGCACACCCGGCCUGGGAAAACAAAAACAAAAACAACAAACAACAAACAAAACAAAACAACAACAAAAAAACUCUGGAGCUGAAGAAUAGGAAUAUCAUUAUUUCCAGGUCCUUACCACAUCCUUGCAGGAAAGCAAGAGCGCCUUCUUUUUAAUGAUCCUCCAAGAAGGAGAGCACAGACCCUUUCUUGGCACACCAAUCCCGAGUUGAGUGACAUGUGCUUUAAACAGAGAAAGAUGGACAUUGCGCAUGUACCUGGCCGUGAAAUUAAAGACCAGGCCCUUUUGUUCUAUACUUCAUAGAUGUGAGACUAAUGGCCCUGGUUCUCGUUAUAAAACUUGGUGUAUGUGACAACUGCUACCAGCAGUGGAGUUAUAAGCAUUAGAAGAUUUAGAUUUUGCCUAAAGUUGACUGCAGUCUUUCCAAUGGCUGGUGGGCGGUGAAAGUGGUCAUUUGGGGGGCAGUAUGGUUAGGUCUCUAUCUGCAUAUGAAAUUUUUUGAGGUUCAUGAAGAAUUGGAUAAACCACAUCCAUGCAACCAGAGUACCAAUCUCAUUACAAAUUUUCCGGUGUUCUCUUCCCCAGAGCCAAUCAUGUAGCCCCCCUCCCCUUUUUUUUUCUUCAGAAAUCUUUAUUUUUAAAUCUUUAGUUGUAGACAAGGAACAUUCUAGAGCUAAACUCAUCUGGAUAUCUGACAGUUCUCCAGGUGAGAAAACUGGAGGGUUGGAAUUUUGUUAGUAAAUGAGCUGAUCUAGAACAUAAGCCUCCCGACUUGCUGGGCCUUUCUCACCACAUGGUUUUGCUGCCCUGUGGUUUGUGGAUCUGUGUAGAUUCACGGCUGAGUGUUGCUGGUCCGUGAUGGGACAAGUAAAAAAAGUGAAAGCAAACAUUUAGAAACUUUUGUAAAUAUCUUGACACAUGAGCAGACUAAUUUGUUCAAUGUAGUAAUAAAAUGCUUUGGACUUAUGAUUUCUUUUGUUCA
rnacentral:lncRNA from 12 species